rnacentral:rRNA from 1 species
GACGAACGCUGGCGGCGUGCUUAACACAUGCAAGUCGAACGGAAAGGCCCUGCUUUUGUGGGGUGCUCGAGUGGCGAACGGGUGAGUAACACGUGAGUAACCUGCCCUUGACUUUGGGAUAACUUCAGGAAACUGGGGCUAAUACCGGAUAGGAGCUCCUGCUGCAUGGUGGGGGUUGGAAAGUUUCGGCGGUUGGGGAUGGACUCGCGGCUUAUCGGCUUGUUGGUGGGGUAGUGGCUUACCAAGGCUUUGACGGGUAGCCGGCCUGAGAGGGUGACCAGCCACAUUGGGACUACGAUACGGCCCAGACUCCUACGGGAGGCAGCAGUGGGGAAUAUUGCACAAUGGGCGGAAGCCUGAUGCAGCAACGCCGCGUGCGGGAUGACGGCCUUCGGGUUGUAAACCGCUUUCGCCUGUGACGAAGCGUGAGUGACGGUAAUGGGUAAAGAAGCACCGGCUAACUACGUG